rnacentral:rRNA from 1 species
UACGGAGGGUGCAAGCGUUAUCCGGAUUUACUGGGUUUAAAGGGUGCGUAGGCGGGCUUUUAAGUCAGCGGUGAAAGCUUCGGGCUCAACUCGAAAAUUGCCGUUGAUACUAUUAGUCUUGAAUUAAGUUGAGGUGGGCGGAAUAUGUCAUGUAGCGGUGAAAUGCUUAGAUAUGACAUAGAACACCGAUUGCGAAGGCAGCUCGCUAAACUUAUAUUGACGCUGAGGCACGAAAGCGUGGGGAUCAAACAGG